rnacentral:rRNA from 1 species
GGUCAAGUGAAGAAGCGCAUACGGUGGAUGCCUUGGCAGUCAGAGGCGAUGAAAGACGUGGUAGCCUGCGAAAAGCUUCGGGGAGUCGGCAAACAGACUGUGAUCCGGAGAUGUCUGAAUGGGGGAACCCAGCCAUCAUAAGAUGGUUAUCUUACACUGAAUACAUAGGUGUAAGAGGCGAACCAGGGGAACUGAAACAUCUAAGUACCCUGAGGAAAAGAAAUCAACCGAGAUUCCCUUAGUAGUGGCGAGCGAACGGGGACCAGCCCUUAAGUUGUAUUGAGAUUAGCGGAACGCUCUGGAAAGUGCGGCCAUAGUGGGUGAUAGCCCUGUACGCGAAAAUCCCUUUGCAAUGAAAUCGAGUAGGACGGGGCACGAGAAACCUUGUCUGAAUAUGGGGGGACCAUCCUCCAAGGCUAAAUACUACUGACUGACCGAUAGUGAACCAGUACCGUGAGGGAAAGGCGAAAAGAACCGCGGAGAGCGGAGUGAAAUAGAUCCUGAAACCGUAUGCGUACAAGCAGUGGGAGCCCAC